AGUGAACGCUGGCGGUAGGCCUAACACAUGCAAGUCGAACGGCAGCACAGUAAGAGCGUGCCCUUACGGGUGGCGGGGGGCGGGCGGGUGAGGAAUACAUCGGAAUCUACUUUGUCGGGGGGGAUAACGGAGGGAAGGAGACACUAAUAGCGGAUAUGAUCAACCGGUGAAAGCAGGAGAUAAUGGGAGCUUGGGCGUCACAAAGAGACGGUGUCGGAUUAGCUAGUUGGGGAGGUAAAGGCCCACCAAGGCAACGAUCCGUAGCAGGUCUGAGAGGAUGAUCAGCCACACUGGAACUGAGACACGGUCCAGACUCCUACGGGAGGCAGCAGUGGGGAAUCUUGGGCAAUGGGCGCAAGCCUGAUCCAGCCAUACCGCGUGGGUGAAGAAGGCCUUCGGGUUGUAAAGCCCUUUUGUUGGGAAAGAAAAGCAGCAGGUUAAUCCCUCGAUGUUCUGACGGUACCCAAAGAGUAAGCACCGGCUAACUUCGUG
rnacentral:rRNA from 1 species